CCGGCCGGCGGCGACGGGAGCCACGAAUAUGGCGUCCGGCGCAGCGCCUGGGCUAUCUCCUGCACGUCUCCCGCCACGGCAAACACUAUGCCGGUACUGAAUCUUUCUCUGAAUAUCCUCUUCUACCUCGCGUGAGCUGAGAGGAGGGAGUGAGAUCCUAGGCUACAUUCAGCAAUAGACUGUUGCUGCCAUUUCCUUUGUGUCAAGCAUGAAAGAACAGAGAUUGUUCCUGCCAUGUUGUGUGCUUGCGCUCACCUAUUUAUUCAUAUGUUUAUGUUUACACUAAUCUGGGAGGUAAAUCCAUUUUAUAGAAGACAACAAAUCAUGCUUAGUGCAUCUGUUAUCUGCAAUUUUUGCGACCGGAAUUUCUGAAGUCUUAUGAGAUCUUUCAGUUUCUGAAUUUAGCUGUAAAUCCAUUUUACACCUAUUUAUGUGAUGUAUGCAUUUUUGCUCUAUCAUGCGUAUAAAGUUACACACCCCUUACUGAAGUUAUCAUAUUUUAUGGAUUUAGCCUUUGAGGCAAAUACAGUUGAACAGUGUUGCUCUAGUUGAAGGUUUUCUUCUAGCUUUCAACGCAUGUUAGAUUUUUCUCAAUCAUCUGAAAAGCAAUGCUUAUUAUAAUAUAGAGGAAGAGUGGAAUCAUUUGCACAGCUUGGGUCUGAUUAGUCAUGAAGAAACAUGACAUAAGAAAUAUUGUAUUUCCAUGUGGUUGCAAGACUUCGAUUGUUUGUACUAUUCCUCUUCAGACCUGAAUAAGAAGACUAGGUCAUCAAAUACUAUAGAUGAGUAUCCAGUAGUAGGCGAACUACCAAAUAAUUCAAAGUUCACAACAUCUUUCUUUUGGAUUGGAGCGUAGUGCGUAAACCAUCAGCCAAGGACAGGCUUAUCAAUGGCAAGGCUGAUUGCCUCAAAGACCAGGAGUAUGUCCUUACUUUUGAAGACAAGGACGACGACUGGAUGCUUGUUGGUCACCUUCGGUGGGAUAUCUUUACUACUAUCUGCCGGAAACUGAAAAGCAUGAGAGGAUCUGAUGCUGCUGGAAUAGGCGCUUUUGAUCUUUAUAUAUUACAGAACAUAAAGAAGAUCAGCAAAGGAUCAAAAGCUGACAUAAAAUAUUUGCUGUAUUUCAGAGCAUGCUGAAGCAAGGUGAUUCCAGAGGAGGCGCAGGAGCCGCAGGCCGUGAACCUUGUGCUGGCUGGUCUCGACGGCAUGCUCGACGAGAUGUUACCGGUGACUGACCUCUGUCUUGUGCAUGUCACCGCGUGGCUGCAUGACCCCUCCUCUGUGCCAAAGGAGCUGGCAGUUAUGGUGUCGGCGCCUAUUCUGGUGCCUACACAGCCUGGCUCUGACGAGGAUGUCGAAUCACCGCCGGCUCCAAGCUCCCCUACGUACAAGCGCACGCACGAGUACAAUCUCAUUCUACAUGUGAAGGAGGUCAUCGACCGCGGCCCUUUGAUGAUGGAUGGCACUGAUUUCUACCCUGACGAUGACGAAGACCUGAGCCGCAAGCAUAAGUUUAAGACUUGGCGUGGCAAGAUCGACGACACAGGUCCCCGUCUUUAUGGCGAGGCAUGAUCGGAAUUUGCUAUGAUCCUUUUCUCCGGUGUUUACUUUAGUUUACAAUGUUCCGAACUAGAGUUCGUACUACAAAGUGUUUACUUUAGUUUGUAAUGUUCCGAACUAGAGUUUCGUACUACAAAGUCUUUACUUUAGUUUAUAAUGUUUCGAACAGAGUUUGUCAUUUUGUCUGAUCGAGAAAUCUGGCGUGUUAUAAUCUUUAUCUUGUAUGAUUCAAAAUACUCUUUAUGCUACUUUUCAAAUAGUUCAAUUGCACUCUCAAA